rnacentral:rRNA from 1 species
UGCCCAGUGAUAAAUUUAACGGCCGCGGUACCCUAACCGUGCAAAGGUAGCAUAAUCACUUGUUCUUUAAAUAAGGACUUGUAUCAACGGCAUCACGAGGGUUCUACUGUCUCCUCUCUCCAAUCAGUGAAACUGAUCUCCCCAUGAAAAAGUGGGGAUAAACUUAUAAGACGAGAAGACCCCAUGGAGCUUUAAAACCUAUAGCAACCUAGCAAACACUUCCAUCAAGCUAUAAAAUAAUGCUCAAGGACUUUAGGUUGGGAGGACCACGGAGCACAAAAUAACCUCCGUAAUGAAAAGAAUAAGAUCUUUACCAAAGAGCCACAACUCUAAGAAUUAGAAAACUAACGUACAUGACCCGAUAUCGAUCAAUGAACUAAGUUACCCUGGGGAUAACAGCGCAAUCCACUCUGAGAGUUCAUAUCGACGAGCGGGCUUACGACCUCGAUGUUGGAUCAGGGUAUCCUGGUGGUGCAGCCGCUACCGAAGGUUCGUUUGUUCAACGAUUAAAACCCUACGUGAUCUGAGUUCAGAC